GUCGCACACCACCACCUUCCUGCCCUGGCUGUCCAUCGUCCGCCCAGGGAAGAGCCGCUGCAGCCGCACAACCUACAGCCACCGCCGCCCGGCCGUUUUCUCUUCUUCCUCUUGCGUCUUCCCGGCCCCUCCUUCGGCCCAACUUUUUUCCCCCGACCGGAAGCCGCCGCCGGGCUCCGCCCGUCAUUUAGCUGAAUGCCUGCACGAAAAGGGUGGGACGGGCAGGCAGCGCGACUGGCAGCGGUGAGCUCCAAUAAAAGAUGGAGGAGCGUCGAGGCCCCUCCCGCAGCUCCGCUUCCGGCUCGGCUGUCACGGUCGCUGCCCACCCGGGUUCUUCGCUGCUUCUAGUUCCGGGCGCUUUGCCGGGCGUUAAUGGCGGCCAACAUCGCCGGUGCUGCGGCUUUCUCCCUAAAGUGUCACAGGAGCUAAGGGCGCUGCUUAACGAACUGCAGAAGACGCAGGCAGGUGAAGGACACCGGUUCUGCUGCGGCAGUGGAAUGUGGCGGAGAAGCUGGCGGGUAGGGCGGGGAGCAAGCCUGGAGGUCCUGGCGGACCCCACCAUUCGACAGGGCUUGGUGUGUUAUUGCUUCUAGGCCUUUUCAGCGGACAGAACUGGGAUGGAUACACACAUGCUUAUUUGAAAUCAUGCGUUUGUUCCAUACUCCAAUGUCAGCCCACCCCUUCUUUGCCCAAGUUGCUCUAUGGUCAAGUGAGCGAGAGCAGGUGCCUGCAUUUCCAGCCUCGUGGCUCACCGCCUCCUUCCAGUAGUCCCAUGUUGCUUCACACCUCUUAAGUACAUGUACUUCUGUGAACCCAGAGCCUUGGCUUUGAAAUCAGACAACCCCAGUUUCAAACGUGGCGCUGCCACUCACGAGUUUUGUGAUUUUGGCAUACCCCUGUCUGCAUGGGGAUAAUAACUUCUAUCUCCAUAGGUGUGGUGAGGAUAAAAGUCUAUGCAUGGAGGAAAUGUUCAUUCAGUGGUAGCUAUUUCUAAUUCUGUUCUUCUGGACCUAUGAUUCUAUCUACGAUGCCUCAUUUUUUUUCCUUUUUAAUCAAUUGGCAAACUUGUGCUCUGAGACCCAGCUUGUUACAUCUCUGAUGACAGCUGAUAUCCUCAGGAUAUUCCGUACUUCCUUUCUCCCUAUUACUUUACUAUGAAUAUAUGAAUAACAUUGUGCUUAUUGCAUGCAACAAAUAUUUAUUAGAUGAAUGACAUUAAAAUUCACCUUUAAAAUGCCAUCCUUUAUGAGAGGUGAGAAAUAGAACUUUUCCUUCGACAUGGCUGUACAUGUUCAACAACUAGAAUAAAACAGUCAUCAUGAACCCUCAAUCCAGUAUUCUUUUUAUAAUAUAGCUGCCUGUCAGUUUUCACUGUUCUUUUAUUAGACCAGUGAUUUUCAAACCUUUUUAAAGGCAUACAGUGCUUUAUUCAAAUCUAAUCUUAUAUGGAACCCUCAACACAUAAAUAUUAAGAUAAAAAUAAAGCUGCCAUUGUUGCAAUUAGAAGUUUGAGAGGUUAGAAUAGGUAGGAAGUCUCGGAGGAACAUUUCUUCGUUUUACCUGCUUUAACAGUCAGAGAAGUACCUCAGCCAGCAGAAAAAUUUAUUUGUUCAUAAAUUCCUUGAGUAUAGAGUCCGUAUCUUAUUUUUGUGGCCUCCAAUGCUAGUGCUGUGCAGUUUUCUUGAAAGUGCAUUUUAUUGGUCUCAGCAAAUUGAACUCAAGCAUUUCUGUGUUCUUUUACUUUUCCUCUUUGUGGAAUUAAGGGGAUUGCUAAUUUGUAUUUUUAAAGAAAGAACAUUAUUCCGGGCGCGGUGGCUCACGCCUGUAAUCCCAGCACUUGGGGAGGCCAAGGAGGGCAAAUCACCUGAGAUCAGGAGUUCAAGACAAGGCUGACCAACAUGGCAAAACCCCGUCUCUACUAAAAAUACAAAAAUUAGCUGGGCGUGUUGGCACGCGCCUGUAAUCCCAGCCACUCAGGAAGCUGAGGCAGGAGAAUCGCUUGAACCCGGGAAGCAGAGGUUGCAGUGACAGAGAUCGUGCCACUGCACUCCAGCCUGGUGAGAGCAAGACUCUGUCUCAAAAAAAAAAAAAAAAAAUUGGCAAGUUUGGCCCUAAAAUUUAUAUGAAAUGAAAAGGAACCAGAAUAAAAGGAUUUCGAAACAGAAAAAGAUGGAGAACUUCCACUACCUGAAUUCAAAACUUAUUAUAAAGCUACAGUAAUGAAGACUGUAAUACUGGCAUAGAGGCAGAUAUAUCGAUCAAUGGAAUCAAAUAGUCCACAAAUAAACCUUUACAUUAUGG
rnacentral:lncRNA from 1 species